UUUGUUACAAAAAUUUAAAAUUACACGAUUUUCCUCUCAACUUUUCUUCAAAAACCCAUGCUUCUUUCUCAACUUCAAACUCCAAAAAUCAGCCUAGACUUCUUUAAAAUAUG